UGUUGUCCAGGAAAUUUUAGCUUUCCAUCAGAGACUGUUUUCCAUGCAUACUGAAAAAGAUACCAUUUCACACAGAGAAUAUGAACAAUUUCCCUCUUUUUAGUGCAUGAUGUCCAAGUGAGUUUGUGUAUUUCACAUCUCUUCCAAUCCCUUUACAGCCACCCCAGAGACUGGUUCUGGAGAGAUUGUGCUCCCUAAGCCAACAAGACAACUUUGCAACAUAGGAAAUGCAGCCAAGAAUGGCUUUAUCUUUGUUAAUAAAUGACCAGAACACAGUGCUUGUUACUGGAAGAGUUAUGACCUGGUGAAUACUCUGGACUAUGAUCCAGGAAGCCUGGUUUGGGAUUAUCUUCCUGUUGCAGAGCCCCUCUUCGAUCUGUGGUGUCUCACUGAACUAAUUGCUGAUUUUUUUCCCCCUUCUGUAAAAUAAAGACAACCACCUGCCCACUCCUUCACCUCUCA